rnacentral:lncRNA from 1 species
AGAGGACGAAGGAGGCGAGCUAACCGGCUGGUCCCUAGAGGUUGCCGUGCCCCCUCCUGUGGAUCUGCCGAGAGGUGGCUAGGGGAGUCGACCCGGAGGGCUGCAUCACAGGAGCGGCGCACCACCUGAGGGCCAGGCCUAGCCGCCGGGGAGAGGAAGCUGCGGUGUCGAAAGCUCCCGGGACUCGGGGGCGCGAGGGCUGGCGGUGAGCACUCACGACAGCAGCACGGCGCACGGAGGGCGCAAGUGUGCAGGCCAUGGUGGCCGUCGCCAGUCAUGCACCAGCGUCACCGAGGUAUCUUCGUCCAGAGUUGGCCAUUGCCCAUUGAUGUCGUCGUUGCUCAGGACGAGUUGAAGGGGAGGACGAAGCAAA